GUUGAACGCUGGCGGCGGGCCUAACACAUGCAAGUCGAGCGAGCGGCGAACGGGUGAGUACUGUCUGGGAAACUGCCUGAUAGCGGGGGAUCACUGCUGGAAACGGUAGCUAAUAACGCCUACAAUCAGCUGUGCGCAGAUGGGAUUAGCUAGUAGGUGGGGUAAUGGCUCACCUAGGCGACGAUCCCUAGCUGGUCUGAGAGGGUGACCAGCCAAACUGGAACUGAGACACGGCCCAGACUCCUACGGGAGGCAGCAGUGGGGAAUAUUGCACAAUGGGCGAAAGCCUGAUGGAGCCAUGCCGCGUGUGUGAAGAAGGCUUUCGGGUGGUAAAGCACUGUAAGUGAGGAGGCGGUACUCGCAGAAGAAGCACCGGCUAACUCCGUGCCAGCAGCCGCGGUAAUAC
rnacentral:rRNA from 1 species